rnacentral:snRNA from 1 species
GGAUGUGAGGGUGAUCUGGCUGCGACAUCUGUCACCCCAUUGAUCGCCAGGGUUGAUUUGGCUGAUCUGGCUGGCUAGGCCGGUGUCCCCUUCCUCCCUCAUCACUCCAUGUGUGUCCCUCCUGAAGCUGCGUGCGCAGUUGAAGAGGAUGGCCUUCGCCUAAUAGAGACAGACGGGUCUUCAGUCAAGGGGAUACAAGUAGCUGAACUCCUCUGCUAGAACCUCCAAGCAAGCUCUCAAGGUCCAUAUAUAGGCAACUUGAAGGAGACUAUAAGGAUUGGUAGAACAGGGAUUUGCAAAUAUAUAUAUAUAUUU